AUUGAACGCUGGCGGCAGGCCUAACACAUGCAAGUCGAGCGGAUGAAGAGAGCUUGCUCCUGGAUACAGGGGCGGACGGGUGAGUAGUGCCUAGGAAUCUGGGUGGUAAUUUGGGAGAACGUGCGGAAACGGGCGCUAAUACGGCAUACGUGCUGAGGAAGAAAGGGGGAGAGCUUCGGACCUUACGCUAUUAGAUGAGCCUAGGUCGGAUUAGCGAGUUGGCGGGGUAAAGGCCUACCAACGCGACAAUCCGUAACUGGUCUGAGAGGAUGAUCAGUCACACUGGAACUGAGACACGGUCCAGACUCCUACGGGAGGCCGCAGUGGGGAAUAUUGGACAAUGGGCGAAAGCCUGAUCCAGCCAUGCCGCGUGUGUGAAGAAGGUCUUCGGAUUGUAAAGCCCUUUAAGUUGGGAGGAAGAGCAGUAAGUUAAUACCUUGCUGUUUUGACGUUACCCACAGAAUAAGCACCGGCUAACUUCGUG
rnacentral:rRNA from 1 species